rnacentral:rRNA from 1 species
AUGAACGCUGGCGGCGUGCCUAAUACAUGCAAGUCGAGCGAACAGACGAGGAGCUUGCUCCUUCGACGUUAGCGGCGGACGGGUGAGUAACACGUAGGUAACCUACCUAUAAGACUGGGAUAACUUCGGGAAACCGGAGCUAAUACCGGAUAAUAUUUCGAACCGCAUGGUUCGAUAGUGAAAGAUGGCUUUGCUAUCACUUAUAGAUGGACCUGCGCCGUAUUAGCUAGUUGGUAAGGUAACGGCUUACCAAGGCAACGAUACGUAGCCGACCUGAGAGGGUGAUCGGCCACACUGGAACUGAGACACGGUCCAGACUCCUACGGGAGGCAGCAGUAGGGAAUCUUCCGCAAAGGGCGAAAGCCUGACGGAGCAACGCCGCGUGAGUGAUGAAGGUCUUCGGAUCGUAAAACUCUGUUAUUAGGGAAGAACAAACGUGUAAGUAACUGUGCACGUCUUGACGGUACCUAAUCAGAAAGCCACGGCUAACUACGUG